CGCAGAAUAGCGUGGGUUGUGGCGGACUCUGACUCCGUCAAUCGAGGUUCGAAUCCUCGCGGGGCAUCCA
rnacentral:tRNA from 1 species